GGGGGUUUAGCUCAGUGGUAGAGCGCUUGCCUAGCAAGCACAAGGCCCUGGGUUCGGUUCCCAGCCCCG
rnacentral:tRNA from 1 species